GUACUGUUGAGGAGUCCCACAAUAAGACGAAACAGUUGUCCAAUAC
rnacentral:hammerhead_ribozyme from 1 species